AAGGGCACCCAAAUAUCAACUUGGUUGUUUU
rnacentral:piRNA from 1 species